rnacentral:rRNA from 1 species
UACGGGGGGGGCAAGCGUUGUUCGGAAUUACUGGGCGUAAAGGGCUCGUAGGCGGCCAACUAAGUCGGAUGUGAAAUCCCCAAGCUUAACUUGGGAACUGCAUCCGAUACUGGAUGGCUUGAAUCCGGGAGAGGGAUGCAGAAUUCCAGGUGUAGCGGUGAAAUGCGUAGAUAUCUGGAGGAACACCGGUGGCGAAGGCGGCGUCCUGGACCAACACUGACACUGAGGAGCGAAAGCCAGGGGAGCAAACGGG